rnacentral:rRNA from 1 species
UCCUUAGAUGUUCUGGGCCGCACGCGCGCUACACUGACGAAUGCAACGAGCUUAUAACCUUGUCCGAAAGGUCUGGGUAAUCUCCAAAUUUCGUCGUGAUGGGGAUAGAUUAUUGCAAUUAUUAAUCUUCAACGAGGAAUGCCUAGUAAGCGCAAGUCAUCAGCUUGCGUUGAUUACGUCCCUGCCCUUUGUACACACCGCCCGUCGCUCCUACCGAUUGAAUGGUCCGGUGAAGCGUUCGGACCGUGGCCUUUGGACGGUUCGCCGUCUGUUGGCUGCGGGAAGUUCGUUAAACCUUAUCAUUUAGAGGAAGGAGAAGUCGUAACA